GCCGCGGCUACAGAGCUACGAGGCAACACAAUAGUUGAGUUAUGUUUACCAGCUGCGCCGUGCUUAUCAUAUUAUACAGUGCUCUACUGGCUGAAGUAGUGAGAGUUAAAGAAGCGGGUCAAGUCUUCAAAUUGUUGCUAACUUCUAUAUUGCUAUGUUUUCUCCAGGUCAUUUUGAAUGGACAGCUUUGUCGCUGAUAAGCUAACUGAGUGGCAGCUGUCUGAGCUGAGAGAAUUUUAGAGGCCAUCCACAAACAUAAAAGAGGCCCUGGCGCUAUCAUUGGUGCAGACAUUCCCGACCCCGAAUGAUGGAUCAGACAGUGGCUAUGUGAGUUUAAUUAUCUUGGUUCAUAUGGAAAUUGAUGCUGAUUUAAAACUUUAAAACUUUUUUUUUUUUA